rnacentral:rRNA from 1 species
GGUUAAGCGACUAAGCGUACACGGUGGAUGCCCUGGCAGUCAGAGGCGAUGAAGGACGUGCUAAUCUGCGAAAAGCGUCGGUAAGGUGAUAUGAACCGUUAUAACCGGCGAUGUCCGAAUGGGGAAACCCAGUGUGAUUCGUCACACUAUCGUUAACUGAAUACAUAGGUUAACGAGGCGAACCGGGGGAACUGAAACAUCUAAGUACCCCGAGGAAAAGAAAUCAACCGAGAUUCCCCCAGUAGCGGCGAGCGAACGGGGAGCAGCCCAGAGUCUGAAUCAGCUUGUGUGUUAGUGGAACGGUCUGGAAAGUCCGACGGUACAGGGUGAUAGUCCCGUACACCAAAAUGCACAGGUUGUGAACUCGAAGAGUAGGGCGGGACACGUGGUAUCCUGUCUGAAUAUGGGGGGACCAUCCUCCAAGGCUAAAUACUCCUGACUGACCGAUAGUGAACCAGUACCGUGAGGGAAAGGCGAAAAGAACCCCGGCGAGGGGAGUGAAAAAGAACCUGAAACCGUGUACGUACAAGCAGUGGGAGCACCUUCGGGUGUGACUGCGUACCUUUUGUAUAAUGGGUCAGCGACUUAUAUUCUGUAGCAAGGUUAACCGUAUAGGGGAGCCGCAGGGAAACCGAGUCUUAACUGGGCGUUAAGUUGCAGGGUAUAGACCCGAAACCCGGUGAUCUAGCCAUGGGCAGGUUGAAGGUUGGGUAACACUAACUGGAGGACCGAACCGACUAAUGUUGAAAAAUUAGCGGAUGACUUGUGGCUGGGGGUGAAAGGCCAAUCAAACCGGGAGAUAGCUGGUUCUCCCCGAAAGCUAUUUAGGUAGCGCCUCGUGAACUCAUCUUCGGGGGUAGAGCACUGUUUCGGCUAGGGGGUCAUCCCGACUUACCAACCCGAUGCAAACUACGAAUACCGAAGAAUGUUAUCACGGGAGACACACGGCGGGUGCUAACGUCCGUCGUGAAGAGGGAAACAACCCAGACCGCCAGCUAAGGUCCCAAAGUCAUGGUUAAGUGGGAAACGAUGUGGGAAGGCACAGACAGCCAGGAUGUUGGCUUAGAAGCAGCCAUCAUUUAAAGAAAGCGUAAUAGCUCACUGGUCGAGUCGGCCUGCGCGGAAGAUGUAACGGGGCUAAACCAUGCACCGAAGCUGCGGCAGCGACACUAUGUGUUGUUGGGUAGGGGAGCGUUCUGUAAGCCUGCGAAGGUGACCUGUGAGGGUUGCUGGAGGUAUCAGAAGUGCGAAUGCUGACAUAAGUAACGAUAAAGCGGGUGAAAAGCCCGCUCGCCGGAAGACCAAGGGUUCCUGUCCAACGUUAAUCGGGGCAGGGUGAGUCGACCCCUAAGGCGAGGCCGAAAGGCGUAGUCGAUGGGAAACAGGUUAAUAUUCCUGUACUUGGUGUUACUGCGAAGGGGGACGGAGAAGGCUAUGUUAGCCGGGCGACGGUUGUCCCGGUUUAAGCAUGUAGGCUGGUUAUCCAGGCAAAUCCGGAUAAUCAAGGCUGAGGUGUGAUGACGAGGCACUACGGUGCUGAAGUAACAAAUGCCCUGCUUCCAGGAAAAGCCUCUAAGCAUCAGGUAACAUUAAAUCGUACCCCAAACCGACACAGGUGGUCAGGUAGAGAAUACCAAGGCGCUUGAGAGAACUCGGGUGAAGGAACUAGGCAAAAUGGUGCCGUAACUUCGGGAGAAGGCACGCUGGUGUGUAGGUGAAGUCCCUGCGGAUGGAGCUGAGACCAGUCGAAGAUACCAGCUGGCUGCAACUGUUUAUUAAAAACACAGCACUGUGCAAACACGAAAGUGGACGUAUACGGUGUGACGCCUGCCCGGUGCCGGAAGGUUAAUUGAUGGGGUUAUCCGUAAGGAGAAGCUCUUGAUCGAAGCCCCGGUAAACGGCGGCCGUAACUAUAACGGUCCUAAGGUAGCGAAAUUCCUUGUCGGGUAAGUUCCGACCUGCACGAAUGGCGUAAUGAUGGCCAGGCUGUCUCCACCCGAGACUCAGUGAAAUUGAACUCGCUGUGAAGAUGCAGUGUACCCGCGGCAAGACGGAAAGACCCCGUGAACCUUUACUAUAGCUUGACACUGAACAUUGAGCCUUGAUGUGUAGGAUAGGUGGGAGGCUUUGAAGCGUGGACGCCAGUCUGCGUGGAGCCAACCUUGAAAUACCACCCUUUAAUGUUUGAUGUUCUAACGUUGGCCCCUUACCGGGGUUGCGGACAGUGUCUGGUGGGUAGUUUGACUGGGGCGGUCUCCUCCCAAAGCGUAACGGAGGAGCACGAAGGUUAGCUAAUCCUGGUCGGACAUCAGGAGGUUAGUGCAAUGGCAUAAGCUAGCUUGACUGCGAGCGUGACGGCGCGAGCAGGUGCGAAAGCAGGUCAUAGUGAUCCGGUGGUUCUGAAUGGAAGGGCCAUCGCUCAACGGAUAAAAGGUACUCCGGGGAUAACAGGCUGAUACCGCCCAAGAGUUCAUAUCGACGGCGGUGUUUGGCACCUCGAUGUCGGCUCAUCACAUCCUGGGGCUGAAGUAGGUCCCAAGGGUAUGGCUGUUCGCCAUUUAAAGUGGUACGCGAGCUGGGUUUAGAACGUCGUGAGACAGUUCGGUCCCUAUCUGCCGUGGGCGCUGGAGAAUUGAGGGGGGCUGCUCCUAGUACGAGAGGACCGGAGUGGACGCAUCACUGGUGUUCGGGUUGUCAUGCCAAUGGCACUGCCCGGUAGCUAAAUGCGGAAGAGAUAAGUGCUGAAAGCAUCUAAGCACGAAACUUGCCCCGAGAUGAGUUCUCCCUGAGACUUUAAGUCUCCUGAAGGAACGUUAAAGACGAUGACGUUGAUAGGCCGGGUGUGUAAGCGCAGCGAUGCGUUGAGCUAACCGGUACUAAUGAACCGUGAGGCUUAACCUU